AUUGAACGCUGGCGGCAGGCCUAACACAUGCAAGUCGAGCGGAUGAAGGGAGCUUGCUCCUGGAUUCAGCGGCGGACGGGUGAGUAAUGCCUAGGAAUCUGCCUGGUAGUGGGGGAUAACGUCCGGAAACGGGCGCUAAUACCGCAUACGUCCUGAGGGAGAAAGUGGGGGAUCUUCGGACCUCACGCUAUCAGAUGAGCCUAGGUCGGAUUAGCUAGUUGGUGGGGUAAAGGCCUACCAAGGCGACGAUCCGUAACUGGUCUGAGAGGAUGAUCAGUCACACUGGAACUGAGACACGGUCCAGACUCCUACGGGAGGCAGCAGUGGGGAAUAUUGGACAAUGGGCGAAAGCCUGAUCCAGCCAUGCCGCGUGUGUGAAGAAGGUCUUCGGAUUGUAAAGCACUUUAAGUUGGGAGGAAGGGCAGUAAGUUAAUACCUUGCUGUUUUGACGUUACCAACAGAAUAAGCACCAGCUAACUUCGU
rnacentral:rRNA from 1 species